UAAGACGAUUAAAGAAAGUAGAAGCAGACAAUUUAAAAAGAAAUGUACAAUUGAGGACAGAAUGUUUGGAAAACAAUGAUAUUGUACUAAAUGAGCAGAUUCCAUGCAUUCCAAAAUUGUAGAAGAUUUUGGAAAAUAUGUUAGUAUCAUAAAAGUUAUAAUUUCACCAGAUGGCCUUAUUAAAAUAAGGCCAGAUGGUACCCGAAAUAAAAAGGCGUUUAAGGAAUUUAAACUUUUAAAUAUGGCCAUUUUCGAAGCUGUCCGAUGUGAAGGAUUCUAUGAACAAGAUUACGCCAAAAAAUUAGAAAUUGUUUCAAAUUCCAUAAGGCCAGACACUUCCGAACAAUGUCCUACAAUAAAAA